rnacentral:lncRNA from 1 species
GGAGAAGUUUUCAUCGUGGAAAUAAGAAAUAUUUUAGAAAAUGGAAAUAGGAAAUGUAGAUAUUUAAAUAAUAAUAACUUGGUUAGGUGCGUAAAAUUCUCCAUAUUUCGAGAAAGUUGACCAUUUUAUGUUGAGCCUCAUUGGUUACAGCGUUGGGCCGCGGGUUGUGGACCUCGCUCUAAACCAGGAUGGUCCACACCCUGGUUUAGAACGACGUCCACAAAAUACCGCCUAAACAUUUCUCAUGGUUUACGCAACCAUGGUCCAAUAGGUGUCUGUCAGAUAAUUAAAUACAACAGAUAUUCCGUUUAAAAAGAAAACUUCAGAUAAAUUAACCGAAAUACUUUCUACGCGGCCAAGAAGAAAAGUCACCCCAAAUCCACCAAUACCAUCUUCCAACCAAUCCUUCUCUUACCUAACAACUACCUAACAAAAAUCCAAAAAUACUUUUCUACUUUACUUUUCUUCUCCGUUCGCCCGCCAUUUUAUCUUUAAUGGGAUGAAAUCUAUUCCUUAAAUUGUUUUUAAGAAUAUUUUGAUCGUCGGCCCGAGCCAUUUAUAACCAUCGGAAUAGCAUUAAAUUUGAUAGAGGGCUAAUCGAGACAGGGACGAAAAAUUCCGCUCAAAAAGUAGUUCCAGAAAUAGCCGACAGGGGAAAUGUGGCGCUGAGUGAUGUAAAAAAAGAGGCGCGAAGGACGGACAAAUGAAUAACAAAAACGAAUCGAAUCGAAACAUCGCGUUUUAUUCGCUACAUCCACUUCUCUCCUGGCGGAGGAAGUGGAUGUUGUCAGAUUGUUGUGAGCGGAAUGUUGUCACAUUGAAAUAUAGCAACAUUCUGCUGGACCACAAAUUGCAUCCUUUGCACGACAUUCUCUACAGCCGAAGCGGACGUGUCGGAAGGAAUGUUGGUCACAGUCCGUGAUAUGUGUCUUUUAUGGUAGGCCAGUUCGGAACCCGGCCAAGAUAGACUUUGGAUUUCGAGUGGCUGCCAAAGUCACUGGAAGUACGGCUACACGGUAAAGUCACACGGAGUUAGAUCCGGGGAGCCAGAUGGCCGUGUCACGGAAACGGCGACUAAUGACUUUGGUCUGUGAAGCGAUGUCGCGGCAGCCGUAAUUUUUAUGGGGGAUAGAAGACCACUACAUCUGGUCUUCCGUCACCCAUAAAAAUUAUCUGGUCCAGACAUCGUCUUGGCUGGAGUCGCGGAAUGAUAAAACUAGUCGGCGUAGGGCGAAACGUUUACGCGGUAACGGAACCAGUUAUUGGUCAUGUCGGAAUAACGUUCUGAAAAAGAAUGGUCUAACCAUCGAUUCUGUGGUGAAGCGCACCAAACGGUGUGUUUUGAUGAAGGCAAUUGGGAUUUCUCGAAUUGCACGGAGUUGUUGGGAUGUCCAAAUUGACGAU